rnacentral:rRNA from 1 species
AACGAACGCUGGCGGCAUGCCUAACACAUGCAAGUCGAACGAGACCUUCGGGUCUAGUGGCGCACGGGUGCGUAACGCGUGGGAACCUGCCCUUAGGUUCGGAAUAACUCCCCGAAAGGGGUGCUAAUACCGGAUAAUGUCUUCGGACCAAAGAUUUAUCGCCUUUGGAUGGGCCCGCGUUGGAUUAGCUAGUUGGUAGGGUAAAAGCCUACCAAGGCGACGAUCCAUAGCUGGUCUGAGAGGAUGAUCAGCCACACUGGGACUGGGACACGGCCCAGACUCCUACGGGAGGCAGCAGUGGGGAAUAGUGGACAAUGGGCGAAAGCCUGAACGAGCAAUGCCGCGUGAGUGAUGAAGGCCUUAGGGUUGUAAAGCUCUUUUACCCGGGAUGAUAAUGACAGUACCGGGAGAAUAAGCUCCGGCUAACUCCGUG